ensembl:lncRNA
GGAAAUGGUAAUUUUACGUUAGCUCGUUAGCCCACCGCGAAUGCUGCUAAGUAGGUUAAUCAAAAGCAGGGGCAAAGCUUUAAUUCCUGCUGAUUUAACUGCACUUUAGGACGAGAAAGUUUUCACAGACGCAGCGAUUUUAGCUGGAAAUACUAUCCCGUCGAUGAUACAGUUGUCUGAGGAUGUACUCAAACAGAUCUGAACACAGUUCCAGGCGGCAGUACAGCGAGAGAAGUUCACGGCAACGGGAUGAAUAUGACAACAGAUGGGAGAAAAGGCGUGACCCUCCCAGAGACAUGCCACGGGAGUCGUAUCAUAAAUAUGGUGGGGAUGGACGCAGCAGCACAGAGAGGAAAAGAAGUAGGGAGUACAGUGAGUCUCCGAAGAGGCUGUACAGCAAAGAUACACUGAACAGGGACCGGAGCAGGAAGAGCCCGGCGAGGAGACGCAUGUCUUCACCAGUGCGGGACCCCUCUGACAACAAAAAGCAGAGGUUUGCAGAUGACGACGAGCGGGAUUACAGGUACAGGCGUGAGGCUCAGGAGAAAACGUACAGGCCUUCACCGGACAGUUUUUCACGGUCGCAUCUAACCAGGAAUGUUGAAGAUGCGUCACCACAAAAUGAGGAUUUCAAGUACAGGAAAACACCUCAGGACUCCAGGCACAGGCCUCUGCAUGAGGAGUUCCCAUACAGGCAGCUAAAUGAGUUAACAUACAGACGACUGUCAGGGUCUUACAAAGAUGGAGAUGAAUAUGAGAGGGGCCGGGAUCCAUCACAAGAGAGGGCACGAUCACAGGAGAGGAGUUAUGUCAAUCCCAGAGAGAGGACGGACAGUCCUCUCACUUCUGUAUAUGAUGAGGAUUAUCGCCAAGCUGGAACAAGAUAUCCAUUGAAUGGUUCGAACCGACAGUCUUUUGAGAGUGAUGCACCCAGUCGAAGUGCAGCUGUUUCUGAGCAGAAGUCAACCAAAGGCUUCCAGCGUUUCCUCGACGUGCUAAACAAGGGCGUGAAUGUCGACGUUCUCACUAAGAUUGUGACUCAGACCUCGGAUGACGACGAUCAACCCGUUUCUCAAACCUUAUUACCGAGCCCUGCUGAUCAUCUGUGGUCUCCAACUCACAAUGCUGGGAGGAAUCAAGGAAGCCACCAGGAUAACAGCUACUGGAGUGAAAGCGAAAGGUCCCGCAGACCAGUUUCCCCGCAGACUCAUCGAAGGUCCAUCAGCCCAAAACGGUGCCCACUCUCUGAUGAAAAGCCCCUUCAGGGGAAUGAUGGCAGGGAAGCCUACUUCCGCAGCAGAUCCAGGUCCCCCUUGGUGGUGGAAAGGGUGCCGCUGCCACCUGAGGAUGAACACAAGCGUAGGCAAAUGCAGGAUGUGCUGCAGGCCAUUGGCAUGGAUUUGGGAUUUGAAGAGCUUGGCCAAAUGUCUCAUAGAAUCCAGGAGCGGCUGUAUGGGAAGAAGGAUGGUGAUUUGGCUCGUAAAGUUGUGAGGGAGAAGGGCACGGGGCGACCGAUUUCCCCGAGACGUCAAAGUAGAGCAUCAUCAUCAUCAAGCAGAUCUAGUUUUAGCCCCUUAAAUCAGAAUUAUUACAGUAAAAAAGACUCGUACAGUGCAGAGAGGGAUGUAACAGAUGUGCAUCAAGUAUACAAAUCUGCUGAGUAUGACCAGAAGACGAGCAGCAGCACAGUACAGGACAGUAAGAACUGCGAAGGGAAAUCUCAGGAGAGCGCUGCUGCAUUACAACCAUUUUCUCCUAAUUCCUCAUACCCUUCAUCCAAACCUCCAUCUGCUCCGGUGGUGCCGACGUACCCUCCGGUCAACUGCUCACCGAUGCCAUACCCACCUCCUGUGCCUCCACCAAUGCCCCAUGUUGGGCCGGGGGUUAUUAUGCCACCCUUCGUCCCGUACCCCGGCAUCCCGCCUAUGAACAUGUAUCCAACCAUGCUCCCGCAAGCGAGCCACAUGUUCCCGCAUCACGUUAAUCAUCCACAGCCGCCGUAUUUCAGCCAAUCAAAUGUAAGUGCAGUUCAGCCAGUGAACACAACGCAAAAGUCCAAACCACUGACAAGGCCCCGCUGUUUGCAGGUUAUUCAAACCAAAAAAAAGCCUAGAUAAACGAGGCUGCGCAGGGUGGAAGUGAGACUUUGAAACUGACUGAUGGAAACAGCUGGGCCUUCAGGGAGUCUCUUUUUAACCACAAAACACGCAUUUGAAGCAUCAGAGAACAUCACAGUGAACAUUUGCAAGCAAUCAGUCCAGCAGCAACUAAGAGAACAACACAAUGACAUUAUCAGCUACUGUAUCGUGAGUUUGAUGACAAACUGUAGGUGGUGCUGCAGCUCUUCUUGAUUCUCGGUCUGCUCUCAUACCCAUCACACAUUCACUAGUCUGCCACAACAUUAAAACUGCCGACAGUGGAAGUAGCAACAGCUCGGGUCCUUGAAUUCACACGGAUGCUAUUUUGACAUUGUUACAGCUUUGAUGCAGACCAGGCAUUGGGCUGAUGGCAGCAGCCUCCUCUUGUAUGGCAGUGCAGCCCGUUAUACUACAACAAGUUAUUAAGCCAGCCUACGAAGCUGGACCACUGUAAUUCUCAGAGGUUCACAGGACCCAAAGGAUCCACUGCAGCGUCCGCUCGGAGGUCCUGCAUGCAUGCCUGGACUCCUCAGGCAGUAUGAAGCAGGUGGUUUUAAUGUUGUUUGGUUGGUGUAGCUUAUAAUAGCCCGGUCACUCUAGGAAAAAACAAAACAAAAACAAAUACUGAAAGUACAAAAAUGUGUUAUUUUGUUAACGUUUUACUAAAAUUUGAUGCAUUUUAUUUUUGUGGACAUCAUAUUUGUCUUUAUAUAGGAGCCUUUAUGUUCAUUAAUUAGUUCAAAGGCCAACCUACAACUACAAGACAUGCUCUACACUUCUGUCUCUUUACAUAUUUUUCUUAUUCUGUAAACAUGCAGAAAUUUGCUGUAUAAAUAUUGAACUGGAUAAUAUUAAACAAAAAAGCAAAUACUUUGACUGUGUGCUGAGUUAUUGAACGUGUACAGAUUUACUGUGGCGCUGUUCUCGCCACAACUAACCUGAAAGGCUCUGUAAUAGAAAAUAUGAAUUUCCAAUUUUGUUUUUAAACAAUGAUUUAAUCAAUGAAUUUGACUGACGUUUUAAACCCAGAGCACAUUUCCUUUACAGGAGAAAAAAAGCCUUCGGCCAACGAGAGAGGCAAAACUGGUUUCAGCUGUUAACCUUCAGUUUAGUCCAACCACAAGCAGCAGAUAGGAAUACAAAUGUUUUUUUAAAAGCUUUAUAAAAUCAUGUUAAAAUGUCUAAGGUAGGGGAAAUUUAUUUGAAAUAAUAAUUUAGAAUUAUUUUGGUUAAAAGGUUUAAAUUAUAGAGGCU